AAACUUAAAGGAAUUGACGGGGGCCCGCACAAGCGGUGAGCAUGUGGUUUAAUUCGACGCAACGCGAAGAACCUUACCAGGGCUUGACAUCCCCUGACCGCGUAUGAAUGUACGUUUUCACCCUCGGGUGACAGGGAGACAGGUGGUGCAUGGUUGUCGUCAGCUCGUGUCGCGAGAUGUUGGGUUAAGUCCCGCAACGAGCGCAACCCCUAUCUUUAGUUGCCAUCAUUGAGUUGGGCACUCUAAAGAGACUGCCGGUGUCAAACCGGAGGAAGGUGGGGAUGACGUCAAGUCCUCAUGGCCUUUAUGACCUGGGCUACACACGUGCUACAAUGGUUGGUACAACGAGUUGCGAGUCGGUGACGGCGAGCUAAUCUCUUAAAGCCAAUCUCAGUUCGGAUUGUAGGCUGCAACUCGCCUACAUGAAGUCGGAAUCGCUAGUAAUCGCGGAUCAGCACGCCGCGGUGAAUACGUUCCCGGGCCUU
rnacentral:rRNA from 1 species